GGGAAAUUCAUUCUUGAGAGGUUUAAGGUUGCGGGUCCAGAUGGAAGCCUCUAUACAGUAAGCCAUGAUGAUGAGCUUGGAAGCGAUGAUGAACCUUAACUAGCCAUCCUACCAUAUCAUUACUCAUCCCUUUAGUCAAAUCUCGCUUUUCAACUGUACAUACUCUAAUUUCCUCCCCUGUUGGCAUAAGCAACCUCGAUUUUCAUAUUCUAACCUGUAAUAGCCAAGUUUUACAGGAUACUCUUAGAACGGUCAUCCUUUUCGUCCUAGACAAUUCGAAUUGGAAAAUUAGCUCUUAUACUUGUUUUGACAGAAGUGAAGUAUUCA
rnacentral:misc_RNA from 1 species